rnacentral:rRNA from 1 species
AACCUGCCCAAGAGAUCGGGAUAACACCUGGAAACAGAUGCUAAUACCGGAUAACAACAGAUGAUGCCUAUCAACUGUUUAAAAGAUGGUUCUGCUAUCACUCUUGGAUGGACCUGCGGUGCAUUAGCUAGUUGGUAGGGUAACGGCCUACCAAGGCGAUGGUGCAUAGCCGAGUUGAGAGACUGAUCGGCCACAUUGGGACUGAGACACGGCCCAAACUCCUACGGGAGGCAGCAGCU